ACUGCCAUAAACUCCAAAGGCAGAAGAAAAAUAUGGAGAAGAAAAGGUAGACACAUACAGUUAACUAAUGCGGCUACUCUCAUGAUGUUACCAAACAGUGAAUGGACAGUUCUGUGUGGAUAAACCUCUGAAGUGACUGGUGCCAGUCAUACCCUGGUCUUACAAACGAAAGAAAGUGAACAUUUAAGCUAACAACAGUUAGAGUUUACUCAUUAGUUUCCCAGUGUUGCUAAUAAUAUUAGCUACCUUGCUGAAAUACCAGUUGGCUCGCAGCGAUGGAUAGAGAAGACCUGCUGUAAAUAAACCAACAAAAUGACGGUCACAGGACAAGUGGAUAUGAAUGACAUGGACACUUAAUAUCCAGGAAAUGACUGCAGCGUCAAAAACGAUACUAUCUGAGCUCACCUAAUGGAGACAACUACACACCUUUAAACUCCUUACCAGCGAUGCCUAAUACACACCAUGACUAAGUGAAAUCGAUCGUUUGUUUGUAAGGAGCUCAAACAGAGCGGGAGAAGGAUUCAGGGCUCUGCUGGCAAUGCGAGCAGAACAGAAAUGCUGCUGGGGAAAGGCAAGCAAAAGGCAAAAAGGCAGAAAACCUCCCCAUUCUCACCGUCACUGCACAUGACCUUGGGGCCAGAGCGAGCUAGCGAGCGGGCAGGCGGAGGAACCGCCCAGCAAGCACUGCUGCACACACAGAGGAAUUUGGAA